UUUCCGUAGGUGAACCUGCGGAAGGAUCAUUACCGGCUUUCCUUUCAGGAAUUCCACCCUUGGCUAUUGGCAGUUGCUUCGGCGAGACGCCUCGGCCAUUGCGGGAGAUGCGCCUUCGGGUGGCAUGUCUGGCAAUGCGAGCUCGCCGGAGACUCAUACUCUUGAUUAUGUAUCGUCAGAGAAACAAGCAAUAAAUAAAAACUUUCAACAACGGAUCUCUUGGUUUUU
rnacentral:misc_RNA from 1 species